rnacentral:rRNA from 1 species
UACGUAGGGUGCAAGCGUUGUCCGGAAUUAUUGGGCGUAAAGAGCUCGUAGGCGGUUUGUCGCGUCUGGUGUGAAAAUCCAGGGCUUAACCCUGGACCUGCAUCGGGUACGGGCAGACUAGAGUGCGGUAGGGGGAGAUCGGAAUUCCUGGUGUAGCGGUGAAAUGCGCAGAUAUCUGGAGGAACACCGGUGGCGAAGGCGGCAUCCUGGACCGGUAUUGACGCUGAGGCGCGAAAGCUAGGGGAGCAAACGGG